UUUUUUUGUGUGUGUUUUCUUCCUCUAAGCGUAAUCUAUAUCAUGGCAACUGCAGAUGGCAUCAGUCCUGUAAUUAGUUUUAUUAUUGUCCUAGACCCAAGCCAGGACAACGGUGCCAUCAUACCUGAUCCAUUUUUUAAUUUGUCACCAAGGACACAGAGGGGUUGGCGUCAUAGAAGUCUGAUUCUAACAGCUGUGCCAGCAAAGUGUGUUCUAUCAUGUAUUAAAAUAUUGAUUUGUUUUAUGGUCUGCAGGAAGAGGGAG